rnacentral:rRNA from 1 species
AUGAUACUUGACAUUAGAAAAGCUUUAGCAGACGAACUACACGAUCUUGUGCUAUGCUUAGGAUUGGGUCUUGUCCAUCACAUCAUUCUCCUAAUGAUAUUUGCCCAAAUGCAAGAGAGUGCUAGAAAGGAUGUGGAAAGUGCUUUUGGUGUGCUUCAAUCCCGAUGGGGUAUCGUUCGAAACCCUGCACUGUCAUGGGAUGAAGGGAAGCUUUGGGAGGUGAUGACUGCUUGUGUGAUCAAGCACAACAUGAUCAUCGAGGACGAGCGUGAUGACAGCAUCUUCGACCAAGGAUUUGAUUAUCAAGGUGAAAAUGUUGAGCCCCUGCACCAAGAACCGGCCAUGUUUGAACAAUUUGUCCAAUUCCAUCAUGAGCUACGUGAUUGGCACACUCAUUUGGAUCUUCAAAAUGAUUUGGUUGAGCACGUGUGGAGUCAUAUUGGCAACCAAUAUAUGUUCAUUCAAGACAAUUUCGAUUUGGUUGUAAAACUAUUUUAUUAG